rnacentral:rRNA from 1 species
CAACCUAACCUAUGGACGGGAAUAACCUCGGGAAACUGAGUAUAAUGCCCGAUAGAACACUAUACCUGGAAUGGUUUGUGUUCCAAAUGAUUUAUCGCCGUAGGAUGGGACUGCGGCCUAUCAGUUUGUUGGUGAGGUAAUGGCCCACCAAGACUAUUACAGGUACGGGCUCUGAGAGGAGUAGCCCGGAGAUGGGUACUGAGACACGGACCCAGGCCCUAUGGGGCGCAGCAGGCGAGAAAACUUUGCAAUGUGCGAAAGCACGACAAGGUUAAUCCGAGUGGUUUCUGCUAAAGAAACCUUUUGUCGGUCCUAGAAACACCGAUGAAUAAGGGGUGGGCAAGUUCUGGUGUCAGCCGCCGCGGUAAAACCAGCACCUCAAGUGGUCAGGAUGAUUAUUGGGCCUAAAGCAUCCGUAGCCGGCUCUGUAAGUUUUCGGUUAAAUCUGUACGCUCAACGUACAGGCUGCCGGGAAUACUGCAGAGCUAGGGAGUGGGAGAGGUAGACGGUACUCGGUAGGAAGGGGUAAAAUCCUUUGAUCUAUUGAUGACCACCUGUGGCGAAGGCGGUCUACCAGAACACGUCCGACGGUGAGGGAUGAAAGCUGGGGGAGCAAACCGGAUUAGAUACCCGGGUAGUCCCAGCUGUAAACUAUGCAAACUCAGUGAUGCAUUGGCUUGUGGCCAAUGCAGUGCUGCAGGGAAGCCGUUAAGUUUGCCGCCUGGGAAGUACGUACGCAAGUAUGAAACUUAAAGGAAUUGGCGGGGGAGCACCACAAGGGGUGAAGCCUGCGGUUCAAUUGGAGUCAACGCCGGA